UUAAGCGACUAAGCGUACACGGUGGAUGCCCUGGCAGUCAGAGGCGAUGAAGGACGUGCUAAUCUGCGAUAAGCGUCGGUGAGGUGAUAUGAACCGUUAUAACCGGCGAUUUCCGAAUGGGGAAACCCAGUGUGUUUCGACACACUAUCAUUAACUGAAUCCAUAGGUUAAUGAGGCGAACCGGGGGAACUGAAACAUCUAAGUACCCCGAGGAAAAGAAAUCAACCGAGAUUCCCCCAGUAGCGGCGAGCGAACGGGGAGGAGCCCAGAGCCUGAAUCAGUGUGUGUGUUAGUGGAAGCGUCUGGAAAGGCGCGCGAUACAGGGUGACAGCCCCGUACACAAAAAUGCACAUAUUGUGAGCUCGAUGAGUAGGGCGGGACACGUGGUAUCCUGUCUGAAUAUGGGGGGACCAUCCUCCAAGGCUAAAUACUCCUGACUGACCGAUAGUGAACCAGUACCGUGAGGGAAAGGCGAAAAGAACCCCGGCGAGGGGAGUGAAAAAGAACCUGAAACCGUGUACGUACAAGCAGUGGGAGCCUCUUUAUGGGGUGACUGCGUACCUUUUGUAUAAUGGGUCAGCGACUUAUAUUCUGUAGCAAGGUUAACCGAAUAGGGGAGCCGAAGGGAAACCGAGUCUUAACUGGGCGUUAAGUUGCAGGGUAUAGACCCGAAACCCGGUGAUCUAGCCAUGGGCAGGUUGAAGGUUGGGUAACACUAACUGGAGGACCGAACCGACUAAUGUUGAAAAAUUAGCGGAUGACUUGUGGCUGGGGGUGAAAGGCCAAUCAAACCGGGAGAUAGCUGGUUCUCCCCGAAAGCUAUUUAGGUAGCGCCUCGUGAAUUCAUCUCCGGGGGUAGAGCACUGUUUCGGCAAGGGGGUCAUCCCGACUUACCAACCCGAUGCAAACUGCGAAUACCGGAGAAUGUUAUCACGGGAGACACACGGCGGGUGCUAACGUCCGUCGUGAAGAGGGAAACAACCCAGACCGCCAGCUAAGGUCCCAAAGUCAUGGUUAAGUGGGAAACGAUGUGGGAAGGCCCAGACAGCCAGGAUGUUGGCUUAGAAGCAGCCAUCAUUUAAAGAAAGCGUAAUAGCUCACUGGUCGAGUCGGCCUGCGCGGAAGAUGUAACGGGGCUAAACCAUGCACCGAAGCUGCGGCAGCGACACUAUGUGUUGUUGGGUAGGGGAGCGUUCUGUAAGCCUGUGAAGGUGGCCUGUGAGGGUUGCUGGAGGUAUCAGAAGUGCGAAUGCUGACAUAAGUAACGAUAAAGCGGGUGAAAAGCCCGCUCGCCGGAAGACCAAGGGUUCCUGUCCAACGUUAAUCGGGGCAGGGUGAGUCGACCCCUAAGGCGAGGCCGAAAGGCGUAGUCGAUGGGAAACAGGUUAAUAUUCCUGUACUUGGUGUUACUGCGAAGGGGGGACGGAGAAGGCUAUGUUGGCCGGGCGACGGUUGUCCCGGUUUAAGCGUGUAGGCUGGUUUUCCAGGCAAAUCCGGAAAACCAAGGCUGAGGCGUGAUGACGAGGCACUACGGUGCUGAAGCGACAAAUGCCCUGCUUCCAGGAAAAGCCUCUAAGCAUCAGGUAACAUCAAAUCGUACCCCAAACCGACACAGGUGGUCAGGUAGAGAAUACCAAGGCGCUUGAGAGAACUCGGGUGAAGGAACUAGGCAAAAUGGUGCCGUAACUUCGGGAGAAGGCACGCUGAUAUGUAGGUGAAGCGACUUGCUCGUGGAGCUGAAAUCAGUCGAAGAUACCAGCUGGCUGCAACUGUUUAUUAAAAACACAGCACUGUGCAAACACGAAAGUGGACGUAUACGGUGUGACGCCUGCCCGGUGCCGGAAGGUUAAUUGAUGGGGUUAGCGGUAACGCGAAGCUCUUGAUCGAAGCCCCGGUAAACGGCGGCCGUAACUAUAACGGUCCUAAGGUAGCGAAAUUCCUUGUCGGGUAAGUUCCGACCUGCACGAAUGGCGUAAUGAUGGCCAGGCUGUCUCCACCCGAGACUCAGUGAAAUUGAAUUCGCUGUGAAGAUGCAGUGUACCCGCGGCAAGACGGAAAGACCCCGUGAACCUUUACUAUAGCUUGACACUGAACAUUGAGCCUUGAUGUGUAGGAUAGGUGGGAGGCUUUGAAGUGUGGACGCCAGUCUGCAUGGAGCCGACCUUGAAAUACCACCCUUUAAUGUUUGAUGUUCUAACGUUGGCCCGUAAUCCGGGUUGCGGACAGUGUCUGGUGGGUAGUUUGACUGGGGCGGUCUCCUCCUAAAGAGUAACGGAGGAGCACGAAGGUUGGCUAAUCCUGGUCGGACAUCAGGAGGUUAGUGCAAUGGCAUAAGCCAGCUUGACUGCGAGCGUGACGGCGCGAGCAGGUGCGAAAGCAGGUCAUAGUGAUCCGGUGGUUCUGAAUGGAAGGGCCAUCGCUCAACGGAUAAAAGGUACUCCGGGGAUAACAGGCUGAUACCGCCCAAGAGUUCAUAUCGACGGCGGUGUUUGGCACCUCGAUGUCGGCUCAUCACAUCCUGGGGCUGAAGUAGGUCCCAAGGGUAUGGCUGUUCGCCAUUUAAAGUGGUACGCGAGCUGGGUUUAGAACGUCGUGAGACAGUUCGGUCCCUAUCUGCCGUGGGCGCUGGAGAACUGAGGGGGGCUGCUCCUAGUACGAGAGGACCGGAGUGGACGCAUCACUGGUGUUCGGGUUGUCAUGCCAAUGGCACUGCCCGGUAGCUAAAUGCGGAAGAGAUAAGUGCUGAAAGCAUCUAAGCACGAAACUUGCCCCGAGAUGAGUUCUCCCUGAGACUUAGAGUCUCCUGAAGGAACGUUGAAGACGACGACGUUGAUAGGCCGGGUGUGUAAGCGCAGCGAUGCGUUGAGCUAACCGGUACUAAUGAACCGUGAGGCUUAACCUU
rnacentral:rRNA from 3 species